UGACUGUAGCUAUAUGAAUAUAUUGAGAAGUUUAAGUGACUGGUUGUUGUAACUCUGUUGACAUAUCUGCUUACCGAACUUCUUACAUUU